rnacentral:tRNA from 1 species
GCCUAUAGCUCAGUUGGUUAGAGCACACGCCUGAUAAGCGUGAGGUCGGUGGUUCAAGUCCAUUUAGGCCCACCAACUUAG